CGAAACUUCAUUGAGGAACUCAUCGAAUCUACGAACUCGAGAGCGCAAUUAUUGAAAACAAGAGAUUUGUUAAGGAGAAGGUAUUUAAUUGAAAAGAAGGGAUUUUACUCCUGAAAGCAAAUGCAUCGGAAACAAUCAAACAACGCUAGCAAUAAAAGGCGCUUGAUUUUGCAAUAUUUCAUCAGUUCUUCAAAAGAAAUAACAUGAACAAGUCAGCGCUUCUACUUUUGCUUCUCAUCGGACUUCUCGUCCUCACUGAAACUACCACUGCUUUUUGGCCUCGUCGUCGUCGUGGUACCCACUAUAACCAAGAGGAAAUGCCACAAAUGAACGAAAUUCCAGACCUGGAGUUCGAGGAUCUUGGUUCUAAGAUGAGAUUAUAAUAAGGUUUCCGCUUAAGCUGCAAAAGUACAAUAUUAAUAAAUUGAACAUCAGCAAAUA